rnacentral:rRNA from 1 species
CCUACGGGUGGCAGCAGUGAGGAAUAUUGGUCAAUGGGCGCGAGCCUGAACGAGCCAAGUAGCGUGAAGGAUGACUGCCCUACGGGUUGUAAACUUCUUUUAUAAAGGAAUAAAAUGAGGCAAGUAUGCCUUUUUGUAUGGACUUUAUGAAUAAGGAUCGGCUAACUCCGUGCAAGCAGCCGCGGUAAGACGGAGGAUCGGAGCGUGAUCCGGAUUUAUUGGGGUCAAAGGGAGCGUAGAUGGGUUGUUAAGUUAGUUGUGAAAGUUUGCGGCUCAACCGUAAAAUUGCAAUUGAUACUGGCAGUCUUGAGUACAGUUGAGGUAGGCGGAAUUCGUGGUGUAGCGGUGAAAUGCUUAGAUAUCACGAAGAACUCCGAUUGCGAAGGCAGCUUACUAAACUGCCACUGACAUUGAUGCUCGAAAGUGUGGGUAUCAAACAGGAUUAGAUACCCGGGUAGUC